rnacentral:ribozyme from 1 species
AACAAACAAGCAAAAAAGGGUCAAAGAUAAAUCAUGUGUUCGUGCGUCUCUUCUGUUCUGUCUUGUCGCUGUUUCUCUGUGUUGCGCUUUCUUUCUUC